CAACAACCUCCAAAAUGUGUGCUGUUGUAGCCUCUCCUGGAUCCCAGCUGACGAGGUCCAGGGCACAGAGAGAGCAAGCGACUCCUGAAGAUCACACAGCUGAGUGGCCCUGGUGUCCCGGCAGCAUCCUGGCCCCGAGCUAGGAUCUAUCUGAGAGGCCCUCAGCUGGAGACCUGGGGAUUAUCUACAAGAUGGUCAAAAGCUCUGGGAGGGAAGCGGCCCAGGUCCUCUCUUUCUGGAGCGGCCCUGCCCUGGAGACCGUGUCGUUGGCAGGGCUGCCACCCAAGGCCCGGAGACUAUGUCCCCUCUGCAUCUGACCCAGCCAGCUCCUCCUGACCACCGCUCCCCCCAAUCCUUCCUCAGCCUUUGGGCUCAAACAAACCAAGUAGAAUAAAAGUGACAGCUCUG
rnacentral:lncRNA from 1 species